rnacentral:piRNA from 1 species
UCUCUGUCGCUUGUAGUCCAAGGAGCUGG